rnacentral:lncRNA from 1 species
CCCAGUUUCCACACUGGCCUCCAAGCCCAAUUUCCAUAUUGGCCCCCAAAGCCCAGUUUCACUGGCCCAAAAAGCCCAAUUCCUACACUGGCCCCCAAAGCCCAGUUUCCAUAUUGGCCCCUAGGUCCAGUUUGAGUUUUUAUUCUUUCUCUUUCUGAUUUGAAACCCAAACGAAAUUACUGUUUCUAUCUUUACUUAGCUUUUACUCUGAUAAUACGAAAAUAUCAAAUUUUCAUAUUAUCUAGUAAUAUCUAAGUAAAGAGGGGUAGCUGUCAACACCCAAUUUCGUCCGGGUGUUGAAUUGAUCAUUUAUUUUCUCUUUAUUUGAUUCCUUUAUUUUAUCAAUUUUAGUCUACUUUAUUUUAUUAUUUUCUUUUCUUAUUUAGCUUGGCUUUUCGUAAUUUUUGUUUUAUUUUAUUAGUUAUAUAAGCCCUUACACCUUACACUGAUUUCUUCACCAAACUAGUUUUCGCAAUCCAAACCAUCAGUGGGAUUCAAUAGGU